rnacentral:tRNA from 1 species
GCAAUAAAAGCAGAAAUGUGGUGCGUCGGCCUUGUAAGUCGAAAGGUGGAGGACAAGAGCCUCUUUAUUGUU